rnacentral:rRNA from 1 species
UUCUCCUACGGGGGGCAGCAGUGAGGAAUAUUGGUCAAUGGCCGGAAGGCUGAACCAGCCAUGCCGCGUGAAGGUCAGUGCCCUAUGGGCGUUAAACUUCUUUUGUGCGGGAGCAAUAAUGGUCACGUGUGGCCAGACGAGAGUACCGUACGAAUAAGCAUCGGCUAACUCCGUGCCAGCAGCCGCGGUAAUACGUAGGUGGCAAGCGUUAUCCGGAUUUAUUGGGCGUAAAGGAAACGCAGGCGGUCUUUUAAGUCUGAUGUGAAAGCCUUCGGCUUAACCGGAGGAGUGCAUUGGAAACUGGG